GUCACUGCCCGCGAAAGUAUGACCGUCAUUGCAUAGCACGGCGUACAGCUGACUGCACUUCGUGGCAUUUGUAGCCACGUUGGUCGUGUAUGUUGUUCGUUUAAAAUAGCAAGUACCGUGUGUUUUUGUCUUGAAUAAGUCAAACAAUGCCGUGCUUUUAGCUGAACUUUCGAAGCCAACAAGAGAGGGAAGCAGCAAGAAGAAGAAUAUGGCUGAUGAACUUCUGCAGAGCAAACUGGCAGAACACAAAAGCAACUGCAUUAUGUGGAAAUCACUUCACUCCAGACCAGUUUGAAACCAACAGAGCUUGUGGAGUGGUAAAACUUAAACCAAAUGCUGUGGCAACCAUUUCUUGUCAUCAUAAGCCACCAGUGGGAUGUAAAGCUCCUUCUGAGAGAAACCUGUUGGCCCAACCAACUGAGGAUACUGAGGUUGGAGAGCCUUCAAAUGUGACCAGUGACAUCAGUCCUCCAGAGAACCUGGACGAAGAGUGUGUUUAGAAUAAGACAACUUUCUUGCCAGCCUGCAUGGUUUAUUUGGUGCAGAUCGGUUUGCAGUAUUAACAAAGGGGACAUGUAAAGGUAGCAAAUGGUCAGUGGAAAGGGCUGAGAAUUAGACUAGCUUGUGGUAGUAUGUGGUAGAAAAUAAAUUUCCGUUUCCUUCAGACAGAACCCCGAGAUGUUUGCUACAGAAUGUGAAAUUUAGACCUGGUGUGCUGAGGCAGCUAAUGAGUUUUCCUGAAAGUUAAGUUUGACCUCAUGGUGCCAGAUGAAAAAUGUGCUCCUCUCCUCAUGGAUGAGGGUCGUAUCAUUCCAUCAUUGGAAUAUGAUUGGAGCAUUAGUUGUUAUGCUGGGUGGUAUUACCUGAAAAUGGAAACAAACAAUAGGUUAGUAUUACACAGGCCAUCUUUUUCCAGUUCUCAUGUCAAAAGCAUCACUAUAAGCAUUUAGUGAAUCUGAGGCACUCGGUAUCAAUGUUCACUGCAUCUCGUUAGGUACGGGAGGGCAAAAUCGAGCUGAAUGGUGAGAAUUUGGAAUUGUUGUUGGCAGGUUCUCAAAAUUAGUCAAUUUUUGCCAGUAUCCUUGUGAUAACAGGAAGCUAAUUUUCCUCAGAGAUACACCACACAUUUUGAAAAUAUGAGGAACUACUUAGUCACCGGGCAAUCAGACUUCCUUUCACAAAAUGUUGUCGAGGAACGAUAUCUACCUUGUAAUGAGGUACAUAUAAAUCAUGUAAAGCAGUCGCUUGAGAUAGACAAUGGUUUAAGUCUUAAACUGGCACCACAACUGCGUGAGAGGUGUUUGAUGCCAAACCUUUAUGAUAAAAUGAAAGUUGGCUCGCCUACUGCCCUAAUUAUCAGCCAGACUGCAGCAGCCAUUGAGUAUGGUGUCAGGACAGAGAAACUGCAGAAAAAUGCUUUAACCACAGCACGGUUUCUAAAGCACGUUCAUAAGUGGUUUCGCCUCAUGACAUGUAGAGCUCCAGUUAUGGCUCUGAGUCGUUCUGAUGAACAAACAUACAGUGAGGCUCUCUGUCAUCUGGAGGACACUCUGUGUUUAUUUGAAGAGUUGAAAAUUGGCCUGAAGGAUGCCUGGAAACCAGUUCAGUCUUUGUAGUUUUGUCAACUGUAGGUAUUUUGGAAUUGCAGGACACAUUCGUGAAUGAGAAGAAUUUUAAAUUUCUGCUAACAAGUAGAUUUGCACAAGAUGCUUUAGGAAAUCUGUUUUCAAUGGUCUUCUUCAAAAAUCCAGUAUCAGCACCAUCAGAACUGAAAACAGCACUGAUGAUUAUUACUCUUUCUUAAUUCUUUAUUUCUACCACUGAUAAUGAAAAUUAAGACAGUAGAUUCCUGGCAGAAUUAGUGGGGUAAUUUGUAGGUGAAGA